UUUAUAGGUUAAAGGCCAUCAUCCUUGCAACUUCCUGUGUGAAAAUUUUGUAAUCCAAAAAGUGUGUAUUCCUUAUGUCAGGAAGUAUGCGAUAUGGAGGAGGAGAUGAAAAUAUAAAAACAAGCGGAUGGAUAAAAUUUCAGUUGUAUGUGCAUCAGGAAAACAAUUUUUGCACUUAACCCCUUAUCAGAUACAUUAUUAGUUCAUUGAAUGCAUUGAAAAUUAAAGUUUAGGGCAUUGGUAGAGUUAUGUUGAAUUGUAAGUCAUUAAAACUAUAGUGAUCCAUAGACUUAAGAGUAAGCAAAGAGUAAGCAACUUAUUUUACCAAUGUGUAAUGUGAAUUGUGUUUGAGUCUAAAUACUUUUUGGAGUGAUCAUCCUAUUUCCAUUUGUCCAAACACCAAAUAUAUGGAGAAUGUGAACUUCAGAAGAUUCAAAAUAUGUACUAUCAAUGGAGGCAGGAAAAUAGAGAAUAAGAGGA
rnacentral:lncRNA from 1 species